UCACUUAAGCUAGUUACUGGAGAGAAACGAGAUCCUACAUGUACCACCGCGGUCAGCUCUCAGCUGCACUGUGCCAGAUCUCCAUUGUUAUUUAGUCAUUAUGCAAUGAUGCACCAUUAGUCAUGAUGCAAGUCAUUAUGCCCUAAGUUCCUUCAGAAACAGAAUUCUCUUCCAAGCCCAAGCAAAAAGCCUGUUUUCUCUGUUUCCUUCCUCUGGUUUGACCCUUAACUCCACCGUUUCCUCUGCUUUUUUCUGUAGUCUCCACAUUAGUCUGCUCAACCCUUCUAUAUGCAUCUCUUCCAUGUUUUGGUGACACUUUUACUCAGGCCUUUUAGAUCUGAGGUUCCCAAAAUGGCCAAGUAAACUUCUGAAAGGACUGUAUCUACACUGCAGGAUAUCGUGCUGCAUGGCAAUAGUUGCAGUGCAUUUAUCCUUGCACAGACAGAAGCAUGACAGGAGAGGAGAGGAGAGGAGACGUCAAAGAGAUGCUGCCAAACAGAGGAAUAUGGAUUUCCUGCUCCCCUCCCUGAAGGAUAUUUUUGAGAAGAUGUGAGGUUUUGCAAUGCACAAAUAUAUUAGCAGUGCAAAGCAAACAGGAAAGGCUGUGACAUUUGCUGAAGUUCUCCUAAACUAGCUUGGUUUGUGUGUAGAGGGGGAGAAGGAUUUGGGGGAUGGCAGCUUGCCCUAAAAUGCACACAUUUUACAGGUUGUCCUCUGUGCUUCCCCAGUAACAUCUCUUCCAUCUACUGCAACCCAGAGAAUAAUGUGCUCUCAAUCAAAAAAAUGAAAAUACAAAA